UACAGAGGUCUCAAGCGUUGUUCGGAUUCAUUGGGCGUAAAGGGUGCGUAGGUGGCGCCGUAAGUCGGGUGUGAAAUUUCGGAGCUUAACUCCGAAACUGCAUUCGAUACUGCGGUGCUUGAGGACUGGAGAGGAGACUGGAAUUCAUGGUGUAGCAGUGAAAUGCGCAGAUAUCAGGAGGAACACCAAUGGCGAAGGCAGCACUCUGGGACGUGACUGACGCUGAGACGCGAAAGCGUGGGGAGCAAACAGG
rnacentral:rRNA from 1 species